UACGUAGGAGACGAGCGUUGUCCGGAGUUACUGGGCGUAAAGGGUGCGCAGGCGGCCCGCCGCGUGUGGGGUGAAAUCUCCCGGCUCAACUGGGAGGGGGCCCGGGCAAACGGGCGGGCUUGAGGGUCGCAGAGGGGCGUGGAAUUCCGGGUGGAGCGGUGAAAUGCGUAGAGAUCCGGAGGAAUACCAAAGGCGAAGGCAGUGUCCUGGCUGGCAUCUGACGCUGAGGCGCGAAAGCUAGGGGAGCGAACAGG
rnacentral:rRNA from 1 species